UGUUCAUCCAUCUUCCUCGCCUCAAGUUCUCUACUCUUUUCUCCAACGGCUGUGCUCCAGUGCCUCCGCAAGUGAGCAUUCACAGUAAGUGUUUGCAGCUUGUUCAACCUCAGCUGAUUUCCUCCACCCUCAUCCACACUCUUCUGGCCCUGUGUGACACAACUGAUGGAAUAGGUGACACCUUAACCCACAGGCACAUCAGCGAAAUCUACGAAGGAUGUGUUUAAACUACACAAUUCAUGGAUUAUGGCCUUUGACAACUGACUAGUGGGAUCACAGCUUUAUCACAACUCAACAGUAAAGCCACCAGCCUGCUAACCAGUGGUUGAAAGCUAAUGAAGGAUGUGGCUAGGCCUCAUGGCACUGGAUCAACACAUAGAUAUUCAUCAAGGAAAGGUACUUUACAGAAGCCGGAAAAGUGAAACAAGCCUCAAAGGAAACUGGUACUAGAGUAUUUUAUUUAACUACUAUAUGACAAGUCCAUCACAGAUCAUUAUUUAUAUGUCAUUUUCCUUUCGAUUGAAAGAGCUCUGACCUCAAUCAU